AAGCGAUAUAGACACAUAAAAUAUUUAGAAAAUAUAAUAAUUCAUGAGCAAACACUGCAUCGAACCUUAAAAUCUUAAUGUAAGCCUUGAAAGAAAACGAAGAAUGUUAGAUAUCAGUAGCGACUUCGAGAGUGAAGAGGAGGAGAGUGAGGAGAGUCAAGAAAAGUGGUAUUCAGAAGUUGUUAAUGGGCCGUAUAGCAUUGCAGCCUUUUCAGAAGAGUCAAUAGCAAAACUUGUUCACCGAGUGUUGCUACUCUAGUUAGCUCUGCACUGGAACGCUAGCUAUUGGUAGCUGCAACAGUGAAAAAAAAAAAGCUGCAAGGCUGACUUGCAAUUAAUCAACUUUUGGCAUCGAUCACCAUCCAUAUAAAAGGCAAAUCCAUAUAAAGCUAUAAUUAGCAUGGCAGUUAUUCAUUUAAACAUUUAAAUUUAAAUCACAUGCAAGCAGAGUGACUGUCAUGUGCAUCUUGUCAUCUACUGAAUGUCAUCUACUGAAUGACACAUGGACUGCAUGGAAACUGCACUGCUACAAGGUGCUAAGUGGAUGUGUUCAUAAGUGAUCACUGAUCAGCUGGAGUUUUUCCACGAAGUGUACUCUGCAGCAACAGGUAAUUGAACACAUUUUUACAACAAGAUAUUAGGUCCAAAACUUGAUGAAAAUUUUGAUUAGAAUAGAAUACAAUACAAAAAUAAUACAAAAAUAAUAGUGUAGAAACAAUAUAUUAUUUAUAUAAUGUCUAGGAAUGAAUCAAGGUAGGUGCACUCGCCCGAGUGUGUUGUGUGGUUCUCAUUAUAAAAAUAAGAAGGGCCGAGCGUACUCUUGCUCAGAGAGAAAGGUCGAUAUCCUAAAGGUGUUCGGCAUAGACAUCAGUGAAGAUGUGGAAACAACUCAUCCACAGCAGUGUAACAAUAAUAUUAUUAUAGCUAUGGACGUAUUAUAGCUAUGGACGGAAGACUGCUCACAGCGAGGACAACUGCCUAGUUUGUUCUACUCACAGUAUUGGUGGGAGGCCAAGGCUUCCGGUCAUGCAUCCAGUACGUCCACACAAUUGCUCCUCCCACCUUCUCGCUCCUCCCACCUGCUGUCAACGAUAUUUUCGAAUGCCCUCUUUGUUUACACAUUGUAGAUAAGCCGAUCGAGCUGUUGUUUGUGCGAGCGCUUAAGAGGCCUGUCAUGCCCACUCUGAGGGCAACAUGGAGGUCACAUGCAGUAUGUGUGCAAAACGUGGUCAUCUGAGAAAUCAGUUGACAGCAUGUGUGUCUGCACCUCUCAAUGCAACUGACCUAUUGAGCAGACGUGACCUUGACACGCUGAUUAACAGGUAAUAUACCAUUAUAUAAUUUCACAGCCUAGCUCACCUCACCUAGAGUGAGUGCCAGUCAAACCGACCCCUGAGACGCCGCAGUUGCUGGAGGGCGAUACAGAUGUGUAAUGAGGUCAGGACGACUGAGCGGGAGAAGCAGCUGAAGACCAGUUGAAAUUCUCGGUGACAGAAAGCCUGGGGAUUCAAUCGGUCCUCAAUUAAUAUACCAAUGAACAAGUUACGACUUAUGAAACGGUCAGUGAAUAAAUCCAGGAAGACUUUACUUUUUUAACCAAACAAUAUGCAACCAAAUGUGAAUUGCGGGUGGACAAUCUUAAGAGUCAGCUUGUUCCCUUCACCUUCCCACUCAAGGAUGGCAAGCACACAGUUGACAUGCUCCACUUCGAAUCUCUGGGAGAAGAUUGAGUAUAUUACUUGUGUAUAAUACACUUAGACAAUUUAUAAUGGUGUAUUUUGUUUAGAGUUGGUGGGGAUAAGGGCUGACCUUCCAAAUUUGCAACAUUGAUCACCCAGUCAACACACUUGUGCCUUUGAAGCUCCAGACAAUGUCUCGUACGAAAACAGUCUUCACAACAAGACAUGGAGGUUGAAAUUGCUGCUUAUGGUGUGUGAUCAAAUCAGAGCAGUUGCGUGAUCCACCCGAAGCACUGACAGCAUCCUGCAAGGCUUUGUUGCAGCUGGAGGGAAACUUGCUCAUGCCAAACACUGUGUCAGGGAACCGUUUUUCAAGAAAAUCCCUCUGAAUCAAGGAACUCAAUCAUCUAGAUUGGCUCUACUGGUUGGAAGGUGAGGAGGAGGAUGACCCACGACCUCCGCUCGGAACUCGAAAACAAACUGGGUUCAAGAAAGAAGAGGGUUCGAUGGCCCAUUCAUUAAAGCCCUCGAUGCAGCAGCCCUCGACAAUUUUAACGUCAGAAGGCAGUCCGAGGGACAUUUGUUGGAAACAAUAUCCCUCUCGGAAUUCAACCAAGGGACGAAAACAAGACUGAGCACAUGAUUGAGAAGUAUGUGCGGCUGCCUAUGGUAGAAACAAGUGCAGAUGUGUACGUUUCAACUGUUGACCAGACUCAUCAAGUUGCCAGGGCCAUUGGUCAUCCACCAGAAGACGGCGAGAGGAGCUCAGAAGGCUAGAGUGAAUUCAGUAUCACCAUCUGGGAGACUGGCAGGGCUUGUUCCCGUCGUUGCUGACUGGCACACCAAAGUCAAAGUGCUUGAUGUGAGUAAGUAAUUGUUUUAACCAUUAACACAACACAUCCAUGCACUUGGUGAUUUGGAAGUACUUCUACUCUAUAUACUCAGCGGGAGACCAUGGUACCCUGUACCAACUUAGUUGAGCAGGAUAAAUGUUGUGAAGACACCAAAGAACUCUUCACCAAAGAAAAAUGUUAAUGCGUGCAAAAAUUUUAUCAUAACCGUUACAUCUGGUUUACUUGUGACUGCUGCAAUGGCAACUUUUCAGCUGAAGUCACCACACGACUAUCCAACCAAUCAGUUAGUUCCCGGAGCCAACACAAUUUGGACUCUUUCCGACAGUGACAGGGAAAGUGCUUACGCGAUAUGUAGUGUUUGAUAGGUUUAUCAAUUUUAAGUUCACUCAGACAACAAAAUCAGGAAAAGACCACAUCUCAGUUCAGCUGUUGCGUUUAGACUUGGAGUUUAGAGAUGCCAUAGAUGGCGAGAGAGUUCUCAGGUGUUGGAAGUACAUGAUUCCCACUCUUAUACAUUGACAGCUAUUAUGGAGUCGAUUUGUCAAUAUUGAUGGACUACCAGGGAAGAAUAUCCCAGUUGACUUGAACAUUUGAACAAAAUAGCCAAGGCAAUUCUUUUCCUAGGAUCUAGGAUCGAACAAAUCAGAGAAAGCAGAAUAGGUCGAGCUAUACUGGACAAUUUCAAUAAAAUGAACGAAGUGAUUACAUCUGGUGGUUCGCACCGAAGACUGAAGGCCCACAAAGACAUUGAAGUAGUAGUGGGAGAACUAGUGAAAACGCGAAAGCACUCCAAAUUUCCACAUCCAAAGAACAUUUUAGAAGCGAAGGACAGGAAAGAAUUGCUGGAUUGAAAAUUGCCAGCAUCCAUUUAGAUUGCAAUUAUUGUUAUGCGAUACUAAUUAUUAUAAACGUUGUUCUCAAUCAUGCAUGCAUUAAAAUUUCAACUUAUCUUAAUUUUUGCUGUCCUUGCUCACUAUUACUAUUGCUCACUACAGUCUUGCUUAAAUGAAAGCGUGCAACAAAAAUUUAAUUGAAUAGUGACAUAAUUUUUAACAAUUAGUACACAAGCAAAUUUAACAAGUCUUAAUUCACACUGUCCACAAGCACAUGUCCGCGCACAAAUAUCACAACACAAACAUUUAAAGGUUGCAUUAACAUGAACAUAGUAAUGUCUUCAAACACAUACAUUUUAAUGUCCUUAUCAAAGAUCGGCAUUGAAGGAGAGUGAGUUACCACGGAUACCCUGCCUGUCUCUUGAACGUAGCUGCCAACGUCAUCUGGUAGGCCAACGUGAACUAUUUGUCUUAUGUUGUUGCAAUCAGUCGUUGCAAUCAACUCCCAUUCCAUUCCAAAGGCUGCUGUCUGAUAAGGCUGCUGUCUGUUUUAAAUAGCGUGACAAUUUUUGAUUUUUGAUCACUUUCAUUAGUGAACAUUUCAACGAGGCGAAAAUCGGGGAGAUCAGGUGCAUCUUGAGAAA